rnacentral:miRNA from 1 species
GCAGACACAUUCCAGCCAAUCAGCAGCAGACCCUCCCUCCCAGACCUUCCCACCUCCUGGACAGCAUCCAUUUUACAUUUAUUGUAAAGCUGCAUUCUUAGUGAGCUGUCCAGGAGGUGGGAGGGUCUGGGAGGGAGGGUCUGCUGCUGAUUGGCUGGAAUGUGUCUG